rnacentral:lncRNA from 1 species
ACCGAAAUACUAGAGGUAGAUGAUUGCAGCCCAUCAUUUAUGAAGAAAAUGCGCGAGUGGCGAUCCUUAUUUGGUGCAGAAGCUAAAAUACGUUCUUCAAGUACGGAUCUAUAAAGGUAAUUAAUGGUCGUCAAAUCUAUGUGAAAUAUUUAGGGAUUGUUUUUCUACCAAACCAAUUCUAUCUAUGCUCUCGAAACUCGAAAGAAGGAAGAUGUAUACUCUUUCUAAAGAGUGAUACCAAAAAAUAAGUGGCGUUUUAGUUAAUAUUGUAUCUUUCAUCCUAUAAUCAUUUUUCAGUUCAUUAACCAUUAUAUAUGUACCAGAGCAAUUCUAUGUUGAUCGAUUUUCAACUUAGCUGCACGUUGAAUUUUGCUUUUUCGUCAGUGAAUUUUUGCUGCUUGAUCCUUGAAAACGUUGAAGAGAGGUUUUGACUGAUUAUUCUUUAUCUGUGUGUACAGGAAUAUAAUAAAUUCCAAAUGGCUAAUCGUGUGUUGCUCGGCGAUUGAAAUGCCUCAACUAUUCAAAUGAAGAUGAAGAUUCCUAUUCGGCAAGUGUCACAAAAUUUCGAAGCUUCCAU